rnacentral:rRNA from 1 species
GCACUCCUGAGAUUUAGCGGCGGACGGGUGAGUAACACGUAGGCAACCUGCCCUCAAGACUGGGAUAACUACCGGAAACGGUAGCUAAUACCGGAUAGGAUAUUUGGCUGCAUGGCCGAAUAUGGAAAGGCGGAGCAAUCUGUCACUUGAGGAUGGGCCUGCGGCGCAUUAGCUAGUUGGUGGGGUAAUGGCCUACCAAGGCGACGAUGCGUAGCCGACCUGAGAGGGUGAACGGCCACACUGGGACUGAGACACGGCCCAGACUCCUACGGGAGGCAGCAGUAGGGAAUCUUCCGCAAUGGACGAAAGUCUGACGGAGCAACGCCGCGUGAGUGAUGAAGGUUUUCGGAUCGUAAAGCUCUGUUGCCAGGGAAGAACGCCAGAGAGAGUAACUGCUCUUUGGGUGACGGUACCUGAGAAGAAAGCCCCGGCUAACUACGUGCCAGCAGCCGCGGUAAUACGUAGGGGGCAAGCGUUGUCCGGAAUUAUUGGG